GAUGAACGCUGGCGGCGUGCCUAAUACAUGCAAGUCGAGCGAAUGGAUUAAGAGCUUGCUCUUAUGAAGUUAGCGGCGGACGGGUGAGUAACACGUGGGUAACCUGCCCAUAAGACUGGGAUAACUCCGGGAAACCGGGGCUAAUACCGGAUAACAUUUUGAACCGCAUGGUUCGAAAUUGAAAGGCGGCUUCGGCUGUCACUUAUGGAUGGACCCGCGUCGCAUUAGCUAGUUGGUGAGGUAACGGCUCACCAAGGCAACGACGCGUAGCCGACCUGAGAGGGUGAUCGGCCACACUGGGACUGGGAAACGGCCCAGACUCCUACGGGAGGCAGCAGUAGGGAAUCUUCCGCAAUGGACGAAAGUCUGACGGAGCAACGCCGCGUGAGUGAUGAAGGCUUUCGGGUCGUAAAACUCUGUUGUUAGGGAAGAACAAGGGCUAGUUGAAUAAGCUGGCACCUUGACGGUACCUAACCAGAAAGCCACGGCUAACUACGUGCCAGCCGCCGCAGUAA
rnacentral:rRNA from 1 species